GACAGAGGGGGCAAGCGUUGCUCGGAAUUACUGGGCGUAAAGGGCGCGUAGGCGGGAUGGCAAGUCGGUCGUGAAAUCCCUCGGCUCAACCGAGGAACGUCGAUCGAUACUGCUGUUCUUGAGGAUUGCAGAGGAGACUGGAAUUCCCGGUGUAGAGGUGAAAUUCGUAGAUAUUGGGAAGAACACCAGUGGCGAAGGCGGCUAACUGGUCCGAUACUGACGCUGAGGUGCGAAAGCGUGGGGAGCAAACAGG
rnacentral:rRNA from 1 species